UCCACUAUAGUUGGAGCACAGCUGCUGGGUCCAAUGUGUAUUUGGACCACAGCCGGAAGCUGUACCCGUAGUCAGCAGAGGUUAUGAUAGGCCUCGCCUCGACCCAAGAGGGAAUUGUGUCCGACAACACAAUUCGAGUUGGUAGCUAAAAGCGUUCUUUUAGGGGCGUUGGUGGACGCAUUGUUUUCACCCGCUGUACUAUGUGUCACAUAUGUGGCACAUGCGAGUACCGUGGUUGUAAACCCCCAUCGGGGUACACGUCACGUUAAACAAAUCAAGGAUUCUGUCCCUAUCUACUAUCUAGCGAAACCACAGCCAAGGGAACGGGCUUGGAAUAAUUAGCGGGGAAAGAAGACCCUUUUGAGCUUGACUCUAAUCUGGCAGUGUAAGGAGACAUAAGAGGUGUAGAAUAAGUGGGAGAUAUUAGGCUUCGGUUUGAUAUCGCCAAUGAAAUACCACUACUCUUAUUGUUUCCUUACUUACUUGAUUAAGUGGAACGUGUAUCAUUUCCUAGCCAUUAUACGGAUAUAUUAAUUAUGUCUUAUGGUAUUGGGUUUUGAUGCAAGCUUCUUGAUCAAAGUAUCACGAGUUUGUUAUAUAAUCGCAAACAAAUUCUUUAAUGAGAAAAUGCAGCAAUGUGUUUUUGAUUUAAUAAUUUGGUAUAACUCCAAUUACUCAGGUAUGAUCCAAUUCAAGGACAUUGCCAGGUAGGGAGUUUGACUGGGGCGGUACAUCUCUCAAAUAAUAACGGAGGUGUCCCAAGGCCAGCUCAGUGCGGACAGAAACCACACAUAGAGCAAAAGGGCAAAUGCUG
rnacentral:ncRNA from 1 species